UAUGAGGAUUGCAAUUUCCCCAUAUCCUUGUUGACACUACGUUAAAAACUAGAACACAAGUUUUUUUUUCUUCUUGUGGCCACACCCUUGGUAUAUGGAAGUUCCCAGGCUAGGGGUCGAAUCGGAGCUGUAGCCACAGGCCUACGCAAGAGCCACAGCAACGCGGGAUCCGAGCCGCGUCUGAAGUCACUCGUUUUACUGUUAAACUGCCGUUGUCAUUCUUUUGUCCUGGGAAGGGAAUGAGCCAGUCACUAAGUGUUUAAUUUCAUGCGUAGCUGAAGUUCUCUAUACCUCUGAUGUGUUUUACACUGGCCAUUAGAGAGCAUGCUGAAGAUGGAAUUGUUCCACCUAAGGAGGUGAGUAGGUGAGCUGUGACCAUGAUAUUGAAGCUGAAAGUAGACUCCCUGGCAUUUGACAGUAAUCUGGGAAAGGGUGCCUAACCACUGAGCCUCCGUUUCCCUAUCAGUAAAAUAGGAUAACAAAAGCAUCCCACUUGCCUCAAGGUUGUGAAGAUUCUGUGUCUGGGAUCUAGUAGCUCUACUGUUAGUAACGAGAAUUGGGGCCAGCAGAGAGGAUUGCUUAUACGUAACCCUGAGGUGCUCUGUUUUCACAGAAGAUACUGUGUACUCGUUCAUAUGUGAUUAAAGGUGCAGUGUUUUGGGCUUUAAAUUAGAAUGAUUCUAACUUCUAUCUCCCGACUUUAAGGGACCUGGCAUGACUAAUUUAGUCACCUCUGUUUUAUGUGGGCUAUUUUACUUACCUCAUUUUCUUACUCAUUCUGUUUUUUUGUUUUGUUUGGUUUGGUUUUUUGGUUUUUUCUGUUUGUUUUUUGUUUUUUGUCUUUUUAUGGCCACACAUGUGGCAUAUGGGAAGUUUCUAGGCUAGGUAUCAAAUCGAAUCCAAGCUAUAGCUGCCAGCCUACACCACAGCCACAGCAACGUGGGAUCCUUAACCCACUGAGCAAGGCCAGGAGUUGAACCCACGUCCUCGUGGAUACUAGUCAGCUUCGUUUCCCUUGAGCCACGACUGGAACUCUGCUUAUCCUGAAUUUUGAGGUCACCAUCCUUUUUUACUUCUGUCUCAGUUGCUUAAUACUAUUAAACAACAUAUUGCUUAGUCUUGUUUUUCAGCUUUAUUAUCAAUGUGGUAUAUACCACUUGCAGACUUCUGCCACGUCCUCAUUUAAGGUUUAUCCAUGUUGAUAGCUGUAGUUGAUUCAUUGAUUUUCACUUCAAAGUGUGAAUGUGUCACAAUUCAUUCUGCUCUUGGUGGACAUUUAGUUUAUUAGAUAUGCUUUUAUUGAAGGAGGAAAGGAGGACAGAAGAGGCACCAUUAAUAAGCAUUCUUGCUAUAGCAUUCUUCUGCUUGCUUGCAUGCAUCCACGAGAUAUGCAGGUGACUCAGGUAGGUGCCCAGAAGUGAAAUUACUAGGCCAUUGGGAAUGACUCAAUGCCAAAUUAUUAUUAUUAUUAUUAUUAUUUUGCUUUUUAGGGCCCCACCUGUGGCAUAUAGAAGUUUCCAGGCUAGGGGUAAAAUCGGAGCUGCAGCUGCUGGCUUAUGCCAUCAGCCACAGCAACUCGGGAUCCCAGCCUCGUCUGCAGCCUCCACCACACACAGCUCACAGCACUGCCGGAUCCUUUACCCACUGAGCAGGGCCAGGGAUCCAACCUGCAUCUUCACAGAUACUAGUUGGGUUUAUUACCGCUGAGCCACGCUGGGAACUCCAGUCCCAAAUUAAUUUGAAAAACAGUUACAUCCAUUUACCUUCCCACAUCCAAAAAUGUUGAAGUAAUUGUUUUACCCACAUUGACAUUAAUGGAUUUCUUACAUUUGUAAACUAACCAGGCCCCUGAGCAUCUUCUCGUGUUUAUUUAUUGUAGUUGUUUGAAAUACCUUUUCCUAAGUUGUACUCAUUUUCAUUUUCCUUUAGCUUUAUUUAUUUAUUUAUUUACUUAUUUUUUGCUUUUAAGGGCCACACUUGAGGAUAUGGAGGUUCGCAGGCUAGGGGUCCAGUCAGAGCUACAGCUGCCAGCCACAGCCACAGCCAUGCAGGAUCCGAGCUUCGUCUGAGACCUACACCACAGCUCACGGUAAUGCCAGAUCCUUAACGCACUGGGCGAGGCCAGGGAUCGAACCCAUAACCUCAUUGUUCCUAGUCGGAUUUGUUUCUACUGCGCCACAACGGAAACUCCAGUUUUGUCUUUUUAAAUUGAUUUGCAGGAGUUCUUUAUAGAGUUUUAGUCCUUUGUGUGUAAUACAUUUUGCAAAUAUUUUCCCCCUAAUUUAAUGUCUCACCACAACACUGUAUCUUUUGACAAACAGAAGAUCUUAAUUUUUUUAAAUUUUAUUUUCAUGGCCGCACCCACAGUAUAUGGAAGUUCCCAGGCCAGGGAUUGUAUCCAAGCCACAGCUGUGACCUACAUCACAGCUGCAGCAACUUCAGAUACUUAAAACCACUGUGCCAGGCCGGGGAGCGAACAUGUACCUCUGCAGCAACUUGAGGCACUGCAAUUGGAUUCUUAACCCGGAGUGCUACAGUGGGAACUCCCAAUCUUAAUUUUAUUUAUUUAUUUAUUUAUUGUCUUUUUGCCUUUUCUAGGGCCGCAACCGUGGCAUAUGGAGGUUCCCAGGCUAAGGGUCGAAUCAGAGCUGCAGCCACCAGCCUAUGCCAGAGCCACAGCAAUGCCAGAUCCAAGCCGUGUCUUUGACCCACACCGCAGCUCAUGGCAGUGCCAGAUCUUUAACCCACUGAGCAAGGCCAGGGAUCGUUUCUAGUUGGAUUCGUUAACCACUGUGCCAUGGCAGGAACUCUCCAAUCUUAAUUUUAAUAUAGGUGAAUUUAUGAAUCAUCGUUUUAUAGUUGGUGGGAAGAACACUACUUGAAGUCAAGUAUUCUAUUUUGUCUUCUAAAAGUUGUAAAGUUUUGCCUUUCAAGUGUAUGGUUUUUGCAUAUAGGGUGAGGAGUCAUGCAGCCUCUGACUCCCUUUUGGGCUUUGUGACCUCCUAUAAAUGAUUUCUUCCACAUCAAUGUCCUUGACUGCAAAAAUGAGACCCUGAUCCCUACUGUGUGUAAAGUUCUCGUGAGGUUAGAAUACAGCAUCCCAGCACACUGAGCCCCAAAUCUCAGUAGCUAUUCAGUAAUUGCUCCUUGGUCUAAGUCCAACUGCAUUCCCUAAGCAUGUGGACACUCAAGGAAAGUUGGCAAUUAACUGGGGAAGUUGUUGCUAGUACACAGCCUGCCAACUGCUACAACCAUCGCCAGGCUGGGUCUGAAUGCUCAGCAAAUCCCCCCACAGGGCACUGGCAGCUUGGAGAAUGUUCAUCCCUGUGCAGACUUGCCUGCUGCAGGCAGGUGCUCAGUCUUAGAGCUGAUUAGUGCAAAUCUGAUUCAUUGUAGAAAUGACUGCUUCCUAACUCCCUGGUACAGUCACAAAGUGGAGUCUGGACAUUCUAACCAGGAGCUUUGGACCUUGAAAGGAGCUUGCUUAGUUUCUGCCAAUGACAACAUGUGCACACACGUUGUGCAUUCCUGUGAGCAAACAGGAGGCUUGGGAUCUGUUUUUGUUGUUGUUGUUGUUUUUCAUUUGGCCACCUCGAGGUAUUUGGAGUUCCUGGGGCAGGAUCAGAGCCGAGCUGCAGUUGUGACCUAUGCUGCAGGUGCGGCAGUGCUGGAUCCUUAACCCACUGUGCAGGGCUGGGGAUCAAACCUUUGUCCCAGCACUUCCAGGAUUGCUGCAGAUCCUGUUGCACCACAGCAGGAACUAAUGGUUGGUUUUUUUGUUUUUGUUUUUGUCACAACCUUGACUCAUGGGGAGAUAGAAGGGCUGGGAUUGUGUGGUGUACAAUUAGAGAUGUCUGUGAUCAGAGAGGCCUUGCGUUUCCCUCUGGAGAAAAGUAAUGACCACAAAGCAUGGGCGGGCAUUUCUUAGUGUGUUCUGGGAGGUCAGAUGUCAGAAAGGAGACCAAAGGGCAUCAACUUCAAGCCUUGUUCAUGGAGUCUCUUGCAGUGGCUAUUGCACUCUCUUGAGCCUUUUUCAGUUGCACUUCCCAUUGUUCCUGCUUGCCAUUUUGAUCAGGAGCUUCCUUAUACAUGUUUUAUGGAGGGGACCACCGAGUUGGGCAGGCCAUCAAACAUUUGUUGAUCCUUUUCAACCCUGUAAUGUCCACACUUGAAAAACUGGAGACGUCCCAAUGAAAAACAGCUGGGUAGUGGUUUGUAAGCUUUGGUCUUUUGUGGUGGGUAGUGGCUGCCAUAUCACAGUUAAAGGUGACAGAUAGAAUCAAUACACAUGUCCCAUCCACACCAGAACACAGUAGGAAGGGAAUAUUGAUUGUAAAUAAUCCUGUGGGCUUACACAUGUGAAAAUAGAUGUUGUGAUGCAGGGUGACCUUUCCCUACUUGUGUAACUUUGUUAUCUUUUAUUGUGAUGACAGCUAAAUGUUUUAAUCAGGAGCGCUCAGUCAACAGGCAAAGUUGAUUUGUUUGUUGCUGCUUGCUCCCUCUAAACCAGAAGUGUUCUGUUUCCAGUAAAGUUGUUUGUCUCUCCAGCACUCGUUGCCUAGGAGUCCCCCUCCCAACCCUAUAGGAGCAAAGAUUUACUAGUCAAGAUUUAACCCAAACUGUAAAAUUGGGCCAAGGUCCUCUAGGAAAUAUUAAGUAUGAAAAAUUAUUCUACACAGUAGCUUUGUUUGAUCAGGGUAAGUUAAUUUUCUCAAAAGAUUAAUGAUAGAGCUCCAUGGUGGGUUAAGAAGGGUUAAGGAUCUGGCGCUGGCGCUGCCAUGGCUUGAGAUGCUUCUGUGGUGUGGAUCCAAUCCCUGGCCCUGGAACUUCUAUAUGCGUGGAUGCAGAAAAAAAAAAAAUACACACACACACACGAACUGUCUUGUACAUUAAACACUCUUAAAGAGCUGAGUAUCAUUUUUCCUCCUCCUCUGAGGUGGAAGUAGCCCCACUUCCCAACUGAUGUGAGUGCAGGAAAUGUGGUUGUACAGCCCACAAAAAUUUUUUAUAACUGCUUUAAGGUUGUUACUCUUGCUACUUUACUGUCUUAAAUGUAAACCACAAGUCAUAGAACCCAUUCUUUAUCUUGAACUUGAGCUUUCCUUUCAGAAAAGCACUUUAUAAACGCUUAGUUGUUCAGCAGUUUUCCAAUAGCUACUCUCCUCUUGCAGCAGUUCCCAGCCUACACAAGGUGGAUGGAUCAUUUCAGAAUGUCUUCCCCAAUACCCCACCCCCCAAAUAGCUGUGAUUGAACAACAUUGGGCACUACACAUAUGGCAGGCACUAUUUGUAAGCCUGCUGAUCAUUGGGACAAUCCUGAGGAUGAGCUUUGUUAACCACUCUUGUUUCACAAAUGAGGAAUCACUAGUCAAAUGAUGAUAUCUGUUGCUAAAAGUCUCCCAGGUUAAUUCUGGAGGUUGGAGUUCAGAUCGGGUUGGUUUUGUUCUUUGCCUGUAGGUCUGUUUCCACCCUCCCUGCCCAGCAGCAGUCUGAAGUAGGUGGACCCCAGACGUGGGUUAUUUGUUUUUACAUGUUCUUAGAUGCCAUGAAAUUCACUCUGACAUAUGUACCACUGCAGUCAUGAUACAGAGUAUUUCCAACACCCUCCCCACAUUCCCUUUGUGCCACUUUGUAGUCAGCCCCUUCUGCUACCUCUACAUCUGUCUAUAUUGGGAGUUCUGCCUGAGGCUAGGGCAUCUAUUGCUGGGGAAUCAGAGUAAACUGCUUCUUAGCUAGGAUUGGCCAUAGCUUGGAUGUCCCAGGCACUAUUCUCCUGUCCCUUUAUCUCAUCCCCUAACCCCACCAGGGGACUGAGUUGGUUACUAUGCCUAUGAAGCAGGUAUAAUUGUGAAAGAAUUGUGUGACUGUGAAAGAAUUCUCUAAGGGGAGGAUUCUUUUUUGAAUGGGGGGAGGGAUGCUAUGCCCGUUCAUGCAUAAAUAUGAUCACCUUCUAAUAAAACAUUGGGUCCUUCUGUGAGAUGGUCACAUGGUCAUAAGUAAGUAAUGUCAGGCCAGAGCCUCAGGCAUUUGGGUGGGCAGCCAUGGUAGCUGAGUGUAUUUGCUCCACAAGUGUCUGCAUCUAUAAAUGUUUGUGAUGACCUGUAAGGGAUGGCUCUGUACCAACGGAAGAGGGCUGUUGCUACAGUGCCUGGGGCAUGACCCAUGAAGGUGACAUGGUGUGUCAGCAGUAACCUAGAUUCUGGAAUCCUAGGAAAUGGCCUCAACUGCCUAGGGAGCUCUCAGUGUGGGACGUCUUUUAUUUCUCUAGGCCUUGGGUAGGAUUGGAUUUUGUAUUUUACUAGAAUGGAUGAUUCUGUGUUCUUUUUAAUAAGCUGGUUUUCUGGUUGUAGAAAAUAGAUUGUUAUGAUUUUUGUUUAGCUUGCAAGUGUUAGGGAAGCUGUAGAGAAGUAAAAUUUCUUCCCUUUUUCAGGGGUAGACUGAGGGGAGAAAUGAUGUGACCACAAGCUUUUACAUUAAGAAUGCAAGGGAAUUAGUAGAUGCAAACUAUUGCAUUUGGGCUACCAUGGCUGCCCACCCAAAUGCCUCUAUAACACAGGGAACUAUAUCUAGUCACUUGUGCUGGAACAUGAUGGAGGAUGAUGUGAGAAAAAGUAUAUAUUAUAUAUAUAUGACUGUGUCACAGUAGAAAAUGACAAAACACUGUAAAUCAACUACAAUGGAAAAAAUAAAAA
rnacentral:lncRNA from 1 species